rnacentral:rRNA from 1 species
AUUGAACGCUAGCGGGAUGCUUUACACAUGCAAGUCGAACGGCAGCGCGGACUUCGGUCUGGCGGCGAGUGGCGAACGGGUGAGUAAUGUAUCGGAACGUGCCCAGUAGCGGGGGAUAACUACGCGAAAGCGUAGCUAAUACCGCAUACGCCCUACGGGGGAAAGCAGGGGAUCGUAAGACCUUGCACUAUUUGAGCGGCCGAUAUCGGAUUAGCUAGUUGGGGAGGUAACGGCUCACCAAGGCGACGAUCCGUAGCUGGUUUGAGAGGCCGACCAGCCACACUGGGACUGAGACACGGCCCAGACUCCUACGGGAGGCAGCAGUUGGGAAUUUUGGACAAUGGGGGCAACCCUGAUCCAGCCAUCCCGCGUGUGCGAUGAAGGCCUUCGGGUUGUAAAGCACUUUUGGCAGGAAAGAAACGUCGCGGGCUAAUACCCCGUGGAACUGACGGUACCUGCAGAAUAAGCACCGGCUAACUACGUG